UACGUAGGGGGCAAGCGUUGUCCGGACUUACUGGGCGUAAAGCGCGUGCAGGCGGAUUGGUAUGUGCCGUGUGAAAGCUCUCAGCUUGCCUGGGAGAGGUCGCGGUAGACAGCCGAUCUGGAGGCUCGGAGAGGUCAGUGGAAUUCCCGGUGUAGUGGUGAAAUGCGUAGAUAUCGGGAGCAACACCAGUGGCGAAGGCGGGUCUCUGGACAGUUCCUGACACUGAGACACGAAGGCCAGGGGAGCAAACGGG
rnacentral:rRNA from 1 species